CACUGCCCAGGCACCUAGGCGAGGCGUCACUAGGUGCCCCCAGGCGAGAAAAAGGCAAGAUUUUUUUUUUUAUUUGAGAAAGAAAAAAAAAAUCUAACCAGAUUUGUUUUUGCCUUUUGGCAUCCACACGAUGACUAGAGAUUUAAGAUUUUGAAUUUGCCUGACAUAAUGACUAAAACUGAACAAUGCAUCUAGAAUUUUAA
rnacentral:misc_RNA from 1 species